rnacentral:rRNA from 1 species
ACUCCUACGGGAGGCAGCAGUGGGGAAUAUUGCACAAUGGGGGAAAGGACCCUGUGCAGCCAUGCCGCGUGUGUGAAGAAGGCCUUCGGGUUGUAAAGCACUUUCAGUAGGGAGGAAGGUAGUGUAGUUAACACCUGCAUUAUUUGACGUUACCUACAGAAGAAGCACCGGCUAACUCCGUGCCAGCAGCCGCGGUAAUACGGAGGGUGCGAGCGUUAAUCGGAAUUACUGGGCGUAAAGCGCAUGCAGGCGGCCUGUUAAGUCAGAUGUGAAAGCCCGGGGCUUAACCUCGGAAUUGCAUUUGAAACUGGCAGGCUAGAGUCUU